CAAUAGCGUAUAUUAAAGUUGUUGCAGUUAAAAAGCUCGUAGUUGGAUUUCUGGUGGGAGCGAUCGGUCUGGCGCUUAGCGCGAGUACUUGCAUCGUCUCCGGCCAUCCUUGGGGAGAGUCUGUCUGGCAUUAAGUUGUCGGGCAGAGGAUCCUCAUCGUUUACUGUGAAAAAAUUAGAGUGUUCAAAGCAGGCUUAUGCCGUUGAAUAUAUUAGCAUGGAAUAAUAAGAUAGGACUUUGGUACUAUUUUGUUGGUUUGUGCACCAAAGUAAUGAUUAAUAGGGACAGUUGGGGGUAUUCGUAUUCCGUUGUCAGAGGUGAAAUUCUUGGAUUUACGGAAGACGAACUACUGCGAAAGCAUUUACCAAGGAUGUUUUCAUUAA
rnacentral:rRNA from 1 species